GAUGAACGCUAGCGGCAGGCUUAACACAUGCAAGUCGAGGGGCAGCGUGAUGAAGUAGCAAUACGGAUUUGACGGCGACCGGCGGACGGGUGCGUAACGCGUAUGUAACCUACCUUUAACAGGGGGAUAACACUGAGAAAUUGGUACUAAUACCCCAUAACACCGAGAGGGGCAUCUUUUUUGGUUGAAAGUUCCGGCGGUUAGAGAGGGACAUGCGUUGUAUUAGCUAGAUGGGGAGGUAACGGCUCACCAUGGCGACGAUACAUAGGGGGACUGAGAGGUUAACCCCCCACACUGGUACUGAGACACGGACCAGACUCUUACGGGAGGCAGCAGUGAGGAAUAUUGGUCAAUGGGCGAGAGCCUGAACCAGCCAAGUCGCGUGAGGGAAGACGGUCCUACGGAUUGUAAACCUCUUUUGUCGGGGAGCAAACGCUCUACGUGUAGAGAUAUGAGAGUACCCGAAGAAAAAGCAUCGGCUAACUCCGUGCCAGCCGCCGCGGUAAGAC
rnacentral:rRNA from 1 species